CCUACGGGAGGCAGCAGUGGGGAAUAUUGGACAAUGGGCGAAAGCCUGAUCCAGCAAUGCCGCGUGAGUGAUGAAGGCCUUAGGGUUGUAAAGCUCUUUUACCCGGGAUGAUAAUGACAGUACCGGGAGAAUAAGCUCCGGCUAACUCCGUGCCAGCAGCCGCGGUAAUACGGAGGGAGCUAGCGUUAUUCGGAAUUACUGGGCGUAAAGCGCACGUAGGCGGCUUUGUAAGUAAGAGGUGAAAGCCUGGUGCUCAACACCAGAACUGCCUUUUAGACUGCAUCGCUUGAAUCCAGGAGAGGUGAGUGGAACUUCCGAGUGUAGAGGUGAAAUUCGUAGAUAUUCGGAAGAACACCAGUGGCGAAGGCGGUCUCACUGGACUGGUAUUGACGCUGG
rnacentral:rRNA from 1 species